rnacentral:rRNA from 1 species
GUGUCAGCAGCCGCGGUAAUACGUAGGUGGCAAGCGUUAUCCGGAUUUACUGGGCGUAAAGAGUGCGUAGGCGGUUCUUCAAGUCGGAUGUGAAAUCUCCCGGCUUAACCGGGAGGGGUCAUUCGAAACUGUUGGACUAGAGGACAGCAGGGGGAGGUGGAAUUCCCGGUGUAGUGGUGAAAUGCGUAGAUAUCGGGAGGAACACCAGUGGCGAAGGCGGCCUCCUGGGCUGUUUCUGACGCUGAGGCUCGAAAGUGUGGGGAGCGAACAGGAUUAGAUACCCUGGUAGUCCACACUGUAAACAAUGGACACUAGGUAUGGGGAGUAUCGACCCUUUCUGUGCCGAAGCUAACGCUUUAAGUGUCCCGCCUGGGGACUACGGCCGCAAGGCUAAAACUCAAAUGAAUUGACGGGG